AGACACCGCCAGCCACAUAAAUGGCCAUUGCAACUGCCAUUGAAAAUCCAACAUUGAUAGUGAUGACCCCUCCAAAACGUCCUCGACUGAGAAUAGCUUGGGCAACACAGCCACAUCCAAGGACCUGGAAUGAGAGGAAAACUCAACAGAUGCUGAAAUGGAUUUUCUUAGGAGGAUAAUCAAUGCUGUGUGCUGCAGGAAAUAAGAGGACUGAUGAGCAAUGUGGGGACUUCAGUUACCCUCAUCAGAAUCGCCGCUCAGAAGAUUGGAGCCCAGAUUUCCAGCAUUACAUCUUAAUUUAGAAAUGUUUUACUGUAGCCUGAAAAGCAACGAGGAAGCCAGCUUCACCAAGCCUUCUCUUCUCUCAUCGGCACAACCCACCCAACUGCCUUUCUGCACAUAACACCACCUUCUAGUUGACUCAGCACCUAUUAAUGGAUGUGAAGACCAAUGGUAACUCUGAAUAUCACACAAACUUUGUAUUUCAGUUAUCCAGCACUGAAGAAUUCACCACCCCCAAACUUAGUGGCUUAAAAUGAUAGCAUUUAUUUUGCUUAUGAAUCAGCAAUUUGGGCAGGGUUUGGGGUGGCACGUCAUCCCUGCUCUACUUGGUAUCAAAUGGAGUGGCUCGAAAAGUGGAACACUGGAAUUAUCUGAAAGCUUGCAUAUUCAUGCAUCUCAUGGUUGAUGUUGACUGUCCGCUGAUACCUUAGCUGGCGCUUACAAAUGGCUUCUCCGUGGGGCCUGGCUUCUUUACAAUAUGGUUGCUGAGUUCCAAGACUGAGCAUCAUAUAGGAUCCAGAGACUGUGCUCUUAAACCCUGUACCAUGCCAUCUCUCAGUUAUACCAUUUUGCUGGUUCUGAACUUGAUAGCACACAGAAGGCAUGUGAUACAGGCAUUCUCCCUACAACAUCCUAAAUAGGUGUUCACCUAACCCAUAUUGGAUCACCUUUAAGGAUAGGGAGCUCAUUACCACAUUAGGCAGCUUGUUCUGUAUACUUUUUAUUGUUCCUGUGGUUGGGGCAUCCUUCCUUACAUGAAGUUGGAGGCUUCUUUCCUGUAACUUCUGUUCAUUAGCUACAGACCUACUGUUGGGACCAAGGAGAAUAAGCCUUUCACAUACCAGGCAUUGCGAUAAGUGGAGGGGCAUAAUGCCCUCCCUGGGUUCUCUCUUCGUUUGGAUACUUGUCCCUUCAUCUUUGAUCUCUGCGUCUCCUCGGACUCCCAGUGAGUCUCACCUGGGUAAGCUCUACGUUGUCAGUGUCCCUCUUAAAACACAGAGCCCAGAAAUGAACACAGUCUUCCCAUAUUUGUGUAUCACAUUAUGACACGGUAAUUAACCCUGUACCUUCUGACUCAUGGCUUCUAUUGCCAUCUGGUGGGACACUUAGCCAUGGAAUGUUAUUUAACUGUUUACAUAUUUAUGCCUGAUUUUCUCAAUUUUAUAAGAAGAUUUUCAAGAUAAUAUGUUGAACUUUUUUUGUCUCUGUAACAGCUUCUAGUAUAUUGGAUGUAAUUGAAUAGCAGAUCGUAGACAUUAUUUCCAGGGAUGACACUUGUUGGCAAUGUAAAUGAACAUGUUAUUUCUCAUUCUCAGCUUGCUCAUAUAUUAAAGGGGAAUAAUGAUAUGUGCCAGAUUUGAAUCAUAUGGCUUUUUGAUAAAGAAUCAAAGGAGAUAACAUUAAUGAAGGCAAUAUUUAAACAACAAAGAGAAAUAAUAAGGGUAGGAUAUUAUUGUUUUUAGUAUAAACUCAAAAAUUCCAGUUCAGGGUGAAUAGGUUAAGAAAACAGACCCAUGAACUUAACUGCUAACUUGCUGCCUGGCAAUAAAAACAGAGGAGAAAAGACAUCUAUAACAAAUACAUCUAGUUGAAGUACUUGCUGUUUCAUUGCUAGUCAUGGGAUUUAAUUUUGGUGAGAGAGGGAAAGCGGGAAGCUGAUAAGAUCUUCAAGUUGUUUUGACUAUUUGUGAUUACUCUCUGAAGAUGGGCCAUUUCAUAAUUGGCAGGAUUUUAGUGCUUUUUGUAGGAAAGCAAUGCUAGAAAAUAGAAAGAUAAACGCUUUUUUUACUAUCAGGUUCCAUACAUGGAAGAAGGAAAAGACUUUCAUGCCAGAUGCCAGAUGAAGCACCACACACCACCUCCCCACUGCUCAGGAAAUGUCAGCUCAGAGUCCUCAAGCUGGUCCUCAGGGCUCUCCAUUGCCUUACCUCAUGAUUCCCAGCCACCUUCCUUUCCAGUAUUCUUUAGCACAGAUCUUCUGCAUCAGCCAGGCUGACAUCCUAGUCACUUGGAGCCCUUUGAGCUGAUGACACUUAUUUUCAUCCCUGCACAUCUGCUAUGCUGCACCUUUCAGAAGAAACACCCUUUCCUUGCACCUUCCCCAACUAAACCCAAUCUAUUCUUAAUGAUAAGCUGAAAUCCUGCUUUCUCUAUAGGACUUUCUCUGACAACAAAAGCCCUCAUUGGCUUCCUGUGCCCACUCUAUCACGUCUGCACUUUGCCAUUUUAUUAUAUACCUGCCACCUUGUCUUGUGGCACCAACCCCCCCCCACCAAAAAAAACUAUAAUGUCCACCAGGGAAGUACAUUUUUUUUCAGGUUAAUUGGAGGAAAACCAUACAAAUUUAUUUAACAUGUAUACAUGGAGAGAACCACAGAGUGAUUACCCUAAUUCUUUAUAUUCCAUGCUUAAAUAAUAAUAUUUGAUGAAAGAUAUUAAAAUAUCUAAACUUAAGCAAGGGCACAAAAAAAAACCCAUUUCUCUGCCUUCAAGAAAAAGCAGGAAAAGAUAAAAAAUUUAGUUUGGCCUAUCCAUCUGAUAAGGGAUUAAUAACCAUAAUAUAUAAGGAGCUCAAACAACUCAAUAGCAAACAAACAAACAAAAUCCUAAUAAUCUGAUUUUAAAAUGGGCAAAAGAUCUGAGUAGUCAUUUCUCAGAAGACAGACAGUGGCCAACAGGCAUAUGAAAAAAAAAAUGCUCAAGCAUCAUUAACUAUCAGAGAAAUGCGAAUCAAAACCACAGUGAGAUAGCGUCUCACCCCAGUUAAAACAGCUUUUAUCAAAAAGGGAAUAAUGGAUGUGGAGAAAGCGGAACAUUUAUACGCUGUUGGUAGGAAUGUAAACUAAUAUAGCCACUAUGGAAAAUAGUGUGGAGGUUCCUCAGAAAACUAAAAACAGGACUGCCAUACGAUUCAGCAGUUUCAAUACUGGGCAUGUAUCCAAAAGAAAUAAAAUCAAUAUGUUGAAGAGCUGUCUGCACUCUCAUGUUUACUGCAGCACUAUUCACAAUAGCCAAAAUAUGGAAUCAACCUAAAUGCCCACAAACCAGAUUAAUGGAUAAAGAAAAUGUGGCAUAUAUACGCAAUGAAACAUUAUUCACCCAUAAAGAAGAAUGAAAUCCUGUCAUUUGUAGCAAUGUGAAUGGAACUGGAGGUCAUUAUGUUAAGUGAAAUAAGCCAGGCAUAGAAAGACAGACAUCAAAUGUUCUCAUUUUUAUGUGACAGCUAAAAAAGUGGAUCUCAUGAAGGCAGAGAGUAGAUGGGUAGUUACUAGAGGUCAAGAAAGGGCGGAGGAAAGAAGAAAGGUUGAUUAAUAGGUAAAAAUAUACAGUUUGAUAGAAGAAAUAAGACCUAGUGCUUGAAAGAUCAGUAACAUGACUAUAGUUAACAAUAAUCUAUUGUAUAUUUCAAAGUCACCAGAAGAAAAUAAUUUGAAUAUUCCUAGCAGAAUGAAAAGACAAAUAUUUAAGGCAAUGGAUCACCCAAUCACACUGAUUUGAUUUUUAUACAUUAUAUGAAUGUGUUAAAAUGUCCCAUGUACCCCCAAAAUAUGUACAUCUGUUAUGUAUGAAUAACAAAAGAAGCGCAGGAAGCAAAACUACCCUGAAUAAUCCUCCUUUAAACAAUGUGGAAAUGAUAAAUAAACGGGAAUCUUACUAAAAAAAAACCCAACUUAAUUUGGGGGUAGGAUAUGAAAUGUGAAAAGUGGGAGGUAUAAUUUCUAAGAAAUACCAAGUGGGACUGCUGGGUACUUCUCAACUGAGCCAUGACCCCUGUGACAAGCUGUUUAUUGGACACAAUGUAAAACCUGACAUGGUGAAGUGAUUAUCACAAGCUGAAAUGCUGGGAACGGAGAGGGGGAAUAAUCAGCCCACAGGUUUUUUUGCACGUAACCCUGCUCAAAUCUCUUUUAUAUUUAUUAUGUCCUUUAAAGUGUAAAACAAGAUAGUCCUAGCAGAAUAUGUGGUGCAUAACAGACACUCAAUAAAUAUUUGUUUGGUGAGUAUGUAAGAACUGAGCCCUUUCAGAAAAGCAGUAGUUAAUGAAGUUUAGGAAUUCCGUAGUGAAGUGUUUGUGAAUGCAGGCAACCUGGGGCCAGGGACCACCAGGGAACCUUAGAAUUACCGCAAGAGGUCUGUGAUUCCUUGUGUGCAUCAAACAUUGUCCAAAAAUGGAAAAAAUAACAUGUCUUCUAUCUACCUUUUGUGAUCUUGUAUUUUCAGAAUUAAUGAAUACUAAAAGAAUGUUGUAGUGUAUAGAGUUCUUGAAAAUUUUUAAAGUUAAAAGGAUCUCCUUGGGAAAGAUUGUCAUGGGUUUUGGAAUAAAUACUGUACAAAAAAUUUACCAUCUUGACUCAUCUGUUUAGGGUAGCGUGAAUAAAGGAAUACUAGCUAUCCUC